AACGAACGCUGGCGGCAUGCCUAACACAUGCAAGUCGAACGAGACCUUCGGGUCUAGUGGCGCACGGGUGCGUAACGCGUGGGAACCUGCCCUUAGGUUCGGAAUAACUCCCCGAAAGGGGUGCUAAUACCGGAUAAUGUCUUCGGACCAAAGAUUUAUCGCCUUUGGAUGGGCCCGCGUUGGAUUAGCUAGUUGGUAGGGUAAAAGCCUACCAAGGCGACGAUCCAUAGCUGGUCUGAGAGGAUGAUCAGCCACACUGGGACUGAGACACGGCCCAGACUCCUACGGGAGGCAGCAGUGCGUAAUAUUGGACAAUGGGCGAAAGCCUGAUCCAGCAAUGCCGCGUGAGUGAUGAAGGCCUUAGGGUUGUAAAGCUCUUUUACCCGGGAUGAUAAUGACAGUACCGGGAGAAUAAGCUCCGGCUAACUCCGUG
rnacentral:rRNA from 1 species